AUACCUUUCUCGGCCUUUUGGCUAAGAUCAAGUGUAGUAUCUGUUCUUAUCAGUUUAAUAUCUGAUAUGUGGGCCAUUGGUCCACACGAUAUUAACUCAAUUUUUUGAGGGGGAGGGUCCAUCAAGGUAGCUUGCUACCUGGGCUCUCGAGCGUCGCCCAUGCGUUGCACUACAGGAUGGGCCUGGCGCACCCCAC
rnacentral:snRNA from 1 species